rnacentral:rRNA from 1 species
CCUACGGGGGGCAGCAGUGAGGAAUAUUGGUCAAUGGACGAGAGUCUGAACCAGCCAAGUAGCGUGAAGGAUGACUGCCCUAUGGGUUGUAAACUUCUUUUAUAUGGGAAUAAAAUGUUCCACGUGUGGGAUUUUGUAUGUACCAUAUGAAUAAGGAUCGGCUAACUCCGUGCCAGCAGCCGCGGUAAUACGGAGGAUCCGAGCGUUAUCCGGAUUUAUUGGGUUUAAAGGGGGCGUAGGUGGAUUGUUAAGUCAGUUGUGAAAGUUUGCGGCUCAACCGUAAAAUUGCAGUUGAAACUGGCAGUCUUGAGUACAGUAGAGGUGGGCGGAAUGCGUGGUGUAGCGGUGAAAUGCUUAGAUAUCACGAAGAACUCCGAUUGCGAAGGCAGUUCACUGGACUGCAACUGACACUGAGGCUCGAAAGUGUGGGUAUCAAACAGGAUUAGAUACCCGAGUAGUC